UAUAAGGAUUUAAGUU
rnacentral:tRNA from 1 species